GCUACGGGUGGCUGCAGUGGGGAAUAUUGGGCAAUGGGCGCAAGCCUGACCCAGCAACGCCGCGUGAAGGAAGAAGGCCCUCGGGUUGUAAACUUCUUUUAUUCGGGACGAAACAAAUGACGGUACCGAAUGAAUAAGCCACGGCUAACUACGUGCCAGCAGCCGCCGUAAUACGGAGGUGGCAAGCGUUAUCCGGAUUUACUGGGUUGAAAGGGCGUGUAGGCGGGAGAGCAAGUCAGACGUGAAAUUCCAGGGCUCAAACCCGGAAGUGGGUUUGAAACUGUGUGUCUGGAGUGAUGGAGAGGCAGGCGGAAUUCGGGGUGUAGGGGUGAAAGGCGUAGAUAUACGGAGGAACACCAGUGGCGAAGGCGGCCUGCUGGACAUUAACUGACGCGGAGGCGCGAAAGCGUGGGGAGCAAACAGGAUUAGAUACCCCAGUAGUC
rnacentral:rRNA from 1 species